GGCAGCGGUGUCUGACAGCAGUUGUGCGGCCUUGGGGCUUAACAGCCUCCCCACAACAGCGGAUUCUCUAGCUACAGACAGCACAUCAGCCAAAAGUCCAAGUCCCAGGAGUUGUGUAGCCCUUCAGAUGAUCCACUGGUUCCUGAAAUUGCAAAAAUCUACCGCAAAGACAAGAAAAAAUAUGAUAGACUGGCUCGAGAGUGGACUGAGAAAUUCGCUAUGUGAUGUCAACAUGUAAUCUCAUGGCCGUAAUAAUAAAAGCAAUGCUGGUGGUUCAGUUUAUUA
rnacentral:lncRNA from 1 species